AACCUGUUUAUAAAAGUAAUGUAUAGUGAUAAAAUAGUUUCCCCCUAUGUUUUAGACUAGCACGGGUCAUUUUUUAGUAAGAACAAUUUGAAGCAGCAUGCUUUUUCAGCAAAGCAACUGAUAGUAAAAACAGCAUCUGUGAGUCAGUGGAUCAGAGAUAAGAAGGCCAGAACAUAACAAGAAAGCCCUAGGCCUGCUUUUAAAACAAAAUUAUACCAAAUACUUGUUGAAAUAAACGUUUCCUUUUGUUUUGUAACUAAUUUUAUAAACAAUGUAAAAUUAAAAAAGAAAUUACCUCAGGGUUAAAACCACCGCCAGUUAGUUUAUAAAAGUAAUUUGUUUAAGUUUUUAACAAAUAGAGGUGAAAGGCUUGUAAAGGGAUAAACACUUUAAAAAGACAAGCCUAUACAAAGACACAUCCCUUCAUUUAGCACUUUUGUAUAUGUUUCAAUAUAAAAAAGAGCAUGCAGAAGCACCCCAGGCCUAAACCCACAAACUCUUACUAAGAAAAAGUUUUUAAAAGCUUUUCCCUAUGUUUUUAGUGAGAACAAUUUGAAGCAGCCUUUUUAAGUCAUGGAUUAGAAAAGAAGAAGACCACUUUGAAAAUCAAGUCUAUCUGAAGAAACAAUUUUUCAUUUAGCUCUUUUGCAUAUGUGUUUCAAUAAAAAGUGAGCAUGCAGAAACAACCAAGAGUUAAAAACACAGAAAACCUGUUUAUAAAAGUAAUGUAUAGUGAUAAAAAAGUUUUCCCCCUAUGUUUUAGACUAGCACGAGUCAUUUUUUAGUAAGGACAAUUUGCAACAGCAUGCUUUUGCAGCAAAGCCACUGUCAGCAAAAACAGCCUCUGUAAGCCAGUGGAUCAGAAAUAAGAAGGCUGCGUCUUCAUCUGCUUUUUAAUUUAUACAAGUGAAAGUAAUAUUAAGUUUUGUAAAGGAAUAAACACUUUAAAAGACAAGGCCCUUUAUUUAACAUUUUUACACGUGUGUUUCAAUUUAAAAGAAAAUGAGCAUGCGGAAAACACCCAGAGUGAAAACCACAGAACCUUAGUAACAGGUAGUUUAUAUUCCCCUUAUUCUGUGUUGGGGCUGAUCGCAAGUUACCUUGGUCUGUUGUUACAGAAUGGCUUAGGGGGAGCUAGUAGUUAACUGGCUUUGACCAGCCGGGCUGGCUUGCAGCCACUCAACUAAAUAAACAAAAACAAAAAAAUUAAAAAAAAUAAGUAUAAAAAUAAAAAACAGUAGUGUUUCCUGCCAGAACCGGCUUGUGGAUGUACAGCCCCCCUCCCCCCAAAAAAAUAAAAAUAAAAAACAGCUAAGCAAAUUGCUUUAAAUGAACAGUCUCAGCUGUGUACCCUGGCCUUGUGGGUGCCCAGAAAUUCCCCACACUGGAGCAGUGCCUGCUACAAGCCCUUAAGGACAAGGCUGGAGGGUCUGGGAUUGUCUGUAGUGGAAGGAGUGUAAGCACUGAUUUUUGCUUGCUUUUCUGAUUGCUAAGCACGUAUUUAGUAACAUGUAAAGGCUGGGAAGCUUAUUAUACUUUGGCAAUAAAACUGAUUAUACUUAUGCACCUGGUGUGGCUUCAUUAAGUGUAUCUGAGCCCCACCCUUUGGCUGGACAUUCUGUAAUCCAGUGGAUCAGAGAGAAGUUUAUUUUCCUCCCCACUUUUUAACAAAUCCAUGCGAAAGUUAUAUUAAGCUUUCAUUUUCUUAGCACUUUUAGAUUUAAGUAUGAAUUUUUCUGUUGCAUUAUCAGAAUGUCUUUGUUUUUAAAUGUUUGCAACCCGUGUGCUGAUACACAGGUACAAGCUCCUGUGUUUGUUUUGGGUCCCAUAGAUUUUAUUAAAAUUAUACAGCACAGGCUGGAGCUGUGGCUUUCUCUACAUCUUAUAAACAGAAAAGACUAAUUAGGCUAGCCAGGGAUUCAUGCACUAUAGUCUGCCUUAGCAAGGCUCCAGCGGUCACCCCUUUAGUUUGCUUGUUUUUUUACACAGACUUCUUUCCUAACUUUUUAAAUGCUGUUAAAGUUUUAACAAAUGGUGAGAUUGCAUUGAAAGAUACUUUGUGAAAGUUAUAACAAGUAUUUUAUUCCAUUUACUGAUUGUAAAAGACAAAAACCAUCACCAUCAUGAAGCUCAGAGAUAGCCUAUUUGAAGAAUACUCCUACCCCUCGACUUUUCUCCCAUACUUGUAACACUUGCUAAAUGUGCAGUGUUUCAUUAAAUAAAGGCUUUUUUUAACAUUUAAUAUGAAAAUAUAGCAUUGACUGAGAUGUAACAUAACAUGACCUUUUUUAAGGAUAUUCUGUAUGCAGUGAGGCCUAUUUGAAGCAUUAUGUUUGUUUGUUUAAAAGUUUAACAUGAAAAAGCAAUAUUGACAGAGCUGUAACAAAACAAGGCCCCUCUUAGGGAUAUUUGGUAGAAGUUUAGUGAACUAAAAAGGCUUAAGAUACUAGUCUACCCUUUUAAAAAUAGUGUUUUUAAAGUACCAAAACAGCAACUGGGUAAGACUAUGAAAACUGACAAUUGAGGGGAGUUUACAUAUUUUAAUUAAAAAAAAAACCACAAAAAUAACAAAAAAAAUAAACAAGAUUGCUUUUUAAAGUUUGGAUUUAUACAAAAAACGCAAGAAAAAAUUAGUUUAUGUAAAAAAAAGUUAGCUGUUUUCUACCAGAGAUAAGGAGUCUUCCUCCCCGGCCCACACACACACACCGGGUUUUUUUUAAUGCUUUUUAAAAUCUAAACUGAGGACAAACAAAUUUUAAAAAAAGCCAUAGCCACAGAGAUCAGGCCAUGGAGGGUUAUCAACUUGAGAAUAAUGUGCUGAAUAUUUCUUGGAUGGUAGAGAACAGUGCUAUGCUUUCAUUCAAAGUCUACAUUUUUCAUUGCUCGGACUUGAUCUGAAUUGCAAGAGAGGAGAAACUUGCCAUUUCAUCCUACAAAGUCAGUGCUAGUGCAGGAUUGUUUAAUCACCUCUUCCGCAUUUUCCUAAUUAACCGGACAGCACAAGAUGACUGAAGUAGCUGACACAACAACCUACUACUACGAUCCUGAGACAGAACCAUGCCAAAAAGCUGAUGUCAAAAAAUUUGCAUCCCUGUUUCUGCCACCGCUGUACUCCUUGGUGCUGAUAUUUGGCCUGGUGGGCAAUGUGCUAGUUGUGCUGAUCCUGAUAAAAUACAAGAGGCUGAGAAGCAUGACUGACAUCUAUCUGCUGAAUCUGGCAAUUUCCGAUUUACUCUUUAUUCUUUCCUUACCAUUUUGGGCUUAUUAUGCAGCACGUGAAUGGGAUUUUGGAAAUGCAAUGUGUAAAAUUCUUUCAGGGGUUUAUUAUGCUGGCUUCUACAGUGGAAUCUUUUUCAUAAUACUUUUGACAAUAGACAGAUAUCUGGCAAUUGUGCAUGCAGUGUUUGCUUUAAAAGUUAGGACAAUUGCCCAUGGCAUCUUCACAAGUGUUUUAAUUUGGGUUGUUGCAAUAUUAGCCUCUCUUCCAGGGUUUAUAUUUCACAGUGUUCAAAAGGAAGGUGCUCGCUGGACCUGUAGCUCUCAUUAUCCAUCAGGUUAUGAAAUCAAAUGGAAGCAAUUCCUGAUUUUAAAGAUGAACAUCCUGGGACUUGUCAUUCCACUGGUCAUUAUGAUCUUCUGCUAUACAGAGAUUAUAAGGACAUUACUGAGAUGUAGGAAUGAGAAAAAACAUAAGGCAGUCAGGCUUAUUUUUAUCAUAAUGAUUGUUUAUUUUCUCUUCUGGACUCCUUUCAACAUCGUUGUUCUCAUGUACACUUUUCAAGAUUCAUUUUUCCUAAAUAACUGUGACAGCAGCAGUCAGCUGGAGCUAGCAAUCCAAGUGACAGAAGCAGUUGCAAUGAUCCACUGUUGUAUCAACCCCGUGAUCUAUGCUUUCGUUGGUGAAAAGUUUAGGAAAUAUCUUUAUACCUUUUUCCAAAAACACAUUGCAAUCUACCUCUGCAAACACUGUCUAGCUCUUCAUGGUGAUAAAUUAGAACGGGUUAGCUCCACAUACACCCCAUCCACUGCAGAGCAUGAUAUCUCCAUUGGCUUGUAAAGUGCAUUAGAAAUGUAGCCAGUAAAAGUUUCAUCCUCCUUUUUUACUUAAAAGAUUGUGCAAUUAAACAAAACUCUUAUGGUCAUCGUAUUAAGACCUGGACAGUUACCAAUCACAGUAAUAAAAUUUUUGGUGACAUUGCA